rnacentral:rRNA from 1 species
GCAAGUCGAACGGCAGCACGAACUUCGGUUUGGUGGCGAGUGGCGCACGGGUGCGUAACGCGUAUGCAACCUACCCUUAACAGGGGGAUAGCCCGGAGAAAUUCGGAUUAAUACCCCAUAGUAUCACAAGAAGGCAUCUGAAGGUGAUUAAAGAUUUAUUGGUUAAGGAUGGGCAUGCGUGACAUUAGUUAGUUGGUGAGGUAACGGCUCACCAAGACGAUGAUGUCUAGGGGUUCUGAGAGGAAGGUC